rnacentral:rRNA from 1 species
AACGAACGCUGGCGGCAGGCCUUAUACAUGCAAGUCGAACGAUAAUGUUACUUCGGUAACAGGAAAGUGGCGCACGGGUGAGUAACGCGUAGAGAUCUACCAAGCAGUGGGGAACAACUAUUGGAAACGAUAGCUAAAACCGCAUACGCCCUGAGGGGGAAAUAUUUAUAGCUGUUUGAUGAGUCUGCGUUAGAUUAGCUAGUUGGUGAGGUAAUGGCUCACCAAGGCAACGAUCUAUAGCUGGUUUGAGAGGAUGACCAGCCACACUGGAACUGAGACACGGUCCAG